GCCUGGCUGGCUCAGUUGGAAGAGCAUGGGACUCAUGAUCUCAGGGUCGUGAGUUCAAGCCCCACACUGGGUG
rfam:Ailuropoda melanoleuca scaffold932_1, whole genome shotgun sequence.